rnacentral:rRNA from 1 species
UGUCAGCCGCCGCGGUAAUACGGAGGGUGCAAGCGUUAAUCGGAAUUACUGGGCGUAAAGCGUGCGUAGGCGGUUCGUUAAGUCAGAUGUGAAAGCCCUGGGCUCAACCUGGGAACUGCAUUUGAAACUGGCGGACUAGAGUUUAGUAGAGGGGAGUGGAAUUUCAGGUGUAGCGGUGAAAUGCGUAGAUAUCUGAAGGAACACCAGUGGCGAAGGCGACUCCCUGGACUAGAACUGACGCUGAGGUACGAAAGCGUGGGUAGCAAACAGGAUUAGAUACCCUGGUAGUCCACGCCGUAAACGAUGUCGACUAGCCGUUGGUCCUAUUUACAGGAUUAGUGGCGCAGCUAACGCAUUAAGUCGACCGCCUGGGGAGUACGGCCGCAAGGUUAAAACUUAAAUGAAUUGACGG